AGCUAUUUGAAGAUUUUUGAAAAGCUACAAAGGUGAUUAGUAGAGACGUUAAAUUUUUUGGAGGAUAAGGAGUGGGGAUUGGACAGAAGUAGAGGUGAAGCAACAAGAAGUCUCUCUAGAUCCUGAUGAACUAGUUGAUGAUGCACCAGUUAGAGGAACUAGACUACUGACUGAGGUGUAUCAAAGAAGCAGCUGUGAUGGAGCCUGCAGGAUAUGAAGAAUUUAAAAGAGAUAAUUAAAAGUGAAUGGAGGCAACGAAAAAGGAGUUGAGAAUGAUAGAGAAUAACAAGACAUUGGAGCUAGUGGAGAAGCCUGCUGACAAAAAAUUCCAGAUGGCUCUGUGAACAAGCUCAAUGCCAGGUUAGUGGUGAAAGGGUACGCACAAGUUUGGGGAGUCGAUUUCUCUAAGACUUUUGCACCGGUUGCAAGAACGGACACAAUCAGAAUAUUACUAGUUGUAUCAGCUCAACAUGGAUGGAAUGUGUAUUAGCUAGAUGUGAAGUCAGCAUUUCUAAAUGGAGUGUUAGAAGAAGAGGUCUAUGUUGAGCAACCAGACGCGUUCAUCACACCAGGACAAGAACAUAAGGUUUAUUUAUUGAAGAAGGCUCUCUAUGGGUUCAAGCAAGCUCCUAGGGCAUAAAAUGAUGAAGGUGAAUGUAUCUCUCUAUGUAGAUGACUUGCUGGUGACAGGAAGUGAUAAUUUUUAGAUAGAGGUGUUCAAGCAAGAAAUGAUGAAGGUGUUCGAAAUGACCGAUCUAGGUAUAAGGCAUUACUUCCUUGGUGUGGAGAUUCAACAAGGGUAUAAUGAAGUGUUCUCUGUCAGAAAAAGUGCAUAAGAGAGAUAUUGAAGAGGUUCAAUAUGGAGAAGUGUAAGAGUGUGAACACUCCAAUGAUUCAAAAGGAUAAGUUGCAAAAGGAUGAUGGAGAGGAACCUGCAGAUGAGAAUGUGUACAGAAGUCUAGUUGAAUGUCCCAUGUAUCUCACAUCCACUAGGUCUGACAUCAUGUACACUGUAAGUGUCUUAUCUAGAUUUCUUCAUUAUGCAAGCAAGAAAUCAUAUGAAGCAAGAAAUCAUAUGGUUGCUGGAAGGARGGUUUUGAGAUAUCUGAAAGGCACACUGUCUUUUGGGAUCAAAUUCAGUAAAGUUGAAAAUUUUGAGUUGCAGGGUUACUCAAAUAGUGAUUGGACUGGGUCAUUAGAUGAUAUGAAGAGCACCUCUGGCUAUUGUUUCAUUUUUGGUUCAGGGUGUUUCUCAUUGUGUUAAAAAAAACAAGAUAUAGUGGCUCAGUCAACUACAGAAGCUGAGUUCAUUGCAGCAACAGCAGCAGUCAACCAAGCUGUUUAGUUGAAGAAAUUGAUGCAUGACUUGCAUCUUAAGCAAGAAGAGAGUGUGAAGGUGUUUGUGGAUAAUCAAGCCACUAUAACUAUUUCAUUGAAUCCAGUUUUUCAUGGAAAGACUAAGCAUUUUAAGAUCAAGUAUUAUGUUCUAAGAGAGAUGCAUAACGAAGAAGAAGUUUGCAUUGCAGCUCAGAGAAGCAAAUAUCAUAUAUCUUCCUAA